rnacentral:tRNA from 1 species
CGGUAGCUCAGCCGGAUAGAGCAACGGCCUUCUAAGCCGUAGGUCACGGGUUCGAAUCCUGUCCGG